rnacentral:lncRNA from 1 species
UGCAGUAAGCUGAGAUCACACCACUGCACUCCAGCCUGGGUGACAAAGUGAGACUCUAUGUCAAAAAAAAAAAAAAAGAAGAAGAAGAAGAAAAAAGGACAAGCAAUUCUUCAAUCUUGGGAUAAUUGAAGAUAUUGAAGUGUCAUAAAACUAAGGACUCUCUUACAGCCCCAGCCCUGCAAGAUUCCUCCAGGGGUCUCCAGCUACGUCCAUUCCUUUGAGGACUUUGUGUGUCCAGAAGACAGGCCCGGUGUUGCAACAGGACCUCCUAUCGAGGCUUGGCAAUGUUUUCAGAUUAGAAUUCAAUUUUCUUUACUUAAUUUCUUGAUACCUAUCUCCAAUCCAAAUAAACUUAGCUACAAUAUUUUUGAAGAUUUACACUCCUAAACACUUAAUUCUUGAAUUAAUUUUUCCUUAAUAAUGAUAAGCUUCACUAUUUAAAAAAAUUUUUUUAAUCAACUCAUAAUUGUACACAUUUAUGGGGUACUAUCUGAUGUUUCAAUAUAUGUAUACAUUGUGUAAUGAUCAAAUCAGGGUGAUUACCUUACCAUCACCUCAAACAUUUAUUGUUUCUUGGUGGUGAGAACAUUCAAAAUCCUCUUCUAGUGAUUUUGAAAUAUACAUUGCUAACUAUAGUUACCCUACUUGCAAUAGGACCCAGAACUUAUUCCUUCUAUCUAACUGUAACUUUGCUCCUGUUGGCCAAUUUCUCCCUAUCUCUUCCCCUCCCUUACCUCCCACCCUUCUCCCCCAGCCUCUGAUAACCAUGGUUCUACUCUCUACUGCUAUGAAAUCAACUUUUUUAGAUUCCACAUAUGAAUGACAUCAUGUGGUAUCUGUCUUUCUCUAUCUAGCUUAUUAUGCUUAACAUAAUGUCCUCUAGUUUCAUCCAUGUUGUUGCAAAUGACAGCAUUUCCUGUUUUGUUAUGGUGAAAUAGUACUCCAUUGUGCAUAUAUACCACAUUUUCUUUAUCUAUUCAUCUGAUGAUGGGUACUUAAGUUGAUUCCUGACCAUUGCUCUUGUGAAUAGCGGUGCAAUAAACAUGAGCAUGCAGAUGUCUGUUUCACAUACUGAUUCCAAUUCCUUUGAUAAAUAGCUAGUGUUGGGAUUGCUGGGUCAUGUGGUAGUUGUAUUUCUAUUUUUUUGAUAAACCUCCAAACUGUUUUCCAUAAUUACUAUAAUAAUUUACAUUUCCACCAACAGUGUGUAAGGGUUCUUUUUUCUCCACAUCCUCAUGAACACUUGUUAUUUUUUGUCUUUUUGGUAAUAGCCAUUCUUACUGGAGUUAGGUGAUACUGUGAUUUUGACUUGCAGUUCCCUGAUGACUAGUGAUGUUGAGUAUUUUUUCAUAUACUUAUUGGCUAUUUGUAUGUCUUGUUUCAAGAAAUGUCUAUUCAGGUUUUUUGCCCAUUUUUAAUUGGAUUUUUGGGGUUUGUUUUGUUUUGUUUUUUUGCUAUUGAACUCAAUAGUUUGAGUUCCUUAUAUAUUCUAGAUAUUAACCUCUUGUCACAAAUGUUUACAAACGUUUUCUCCCAUUCUGUAGGUCGUGUCUUCACUCUGUUGAUUGUUUCCUUUGCUGUGCAGAAGCUUUUUAGUUUGCUUUUGCUGUCUGUACUUCUGAGGUCAGAAAAACUCCUUGCCCAGACCAAUGUCAUGAAACAUUUCCACUGUUUUCUUCUAUUAGUUCCAUAGUUUCAGGUCUUACAGUUAAGUCUUUAAUCCAUUUCAAGUUAGUUUUUAUACAGUAAUCCCCUCUUUUCCAUACAGGAUACAUUCCAAGACUCCCAGUGGAUGCUUAAACCAUGGAUAGUACUAAAUCCUAUUUAUACUACGCUUUUUCCCAUAUGUACAUGCCUAUAACAACAUUACAUUUAUAAAUGAGGCACAGUAAGAGAUUAACCAUAAUAAAAUCAACCAACUAUGAAAAUAUACUGUAAUAAAAGUCAUGUGAAUGCAGAUUCUUUCAAAAUAUCUUACUGUGCUGUAUUCACCCUUCUUGAGUGUGAUGAUAAAAGGCCUACAUGAUGAGAUGAAAUGAAGUAAAUGACGUAGGCAUUGUGCUGUAGCGUUAGGCUACUACUGACCCUCUGAAGAUAGGUCAGAAGGAAGAUCAUCUGCUUCACUGAUCCUGGAUCAUUGAACGAUGAUGUUCACGACAAAUAGGCAGGUAGCAUAUACAGUACAGAUACAUUGGACAAAGGGAUGAUACAUGUUCCUGACGGAUGGCAUGAGAUUUCAUCACACUACUCAGAUGGGUGAGCAAUUAAAUCAAAACCACAAUGAGAUACCAUCUCACCCCAGUUAGAAUGGCGAUCAUUAAAAAGUCAGGAAACAACAGAUGCUGGAGAGGAUGCUUUUACACUCUUGGUGGGACUGUAAAUUAGUUCAACCAUUGUGGAAGACAGUGUGGCGAUUCCUCAAGGAUCUAGAACCGGAAAUACCAUUUGACCCAGCAAUCCCAUUACUAAGUAUAUACCCAAAGGAUUAUAAAUCAUUCUACUAUAAAGAUGCAUGCACACGUAUGUUUAUUGCAGCACUGUUUACAAUAGCAAAGACUUGGAACCAACCCAAAUGCCCAUCAAUGAUAGACUGGAUAAAGAAAAUGUGGCACAUGGCCGGGCGCGGUGGCUCAAGCCUGUAAUCCCAGCACUUUGGGAGGCCGAGACGGGUGGAUCACAAGGUCAGGAGAUCGAGACCAUCCUGGCUAACCCGGUGAAACCCCGUCUCUACUAAAAAAUACAAAAAACUAGCCGGGCGAGGUGGCGGGUGCCUGUAGUCCCAGCUACUCGGGAGGCUGAGGCAGGAGAAUGGCGUGAACCCGGAGGCGGAGCUUGCAGUGAGCUGAGAUCCGGCCACUGCACUCCAGCCUGGUGACAGAGCCGACUCAAAAAAAAAAAAAAAAAAAAAAA